UGGUUCCCUGGUGCCCUGGUCCCUGUUCCCAUGGCUGCCGCAUUUAUUAUGCAUGCGCCCCUCCUGUUCCAUGAAGGUUCUGGAUGGAGGUCUCAUGAGGGAUUUGGGCAGAGGCUGAUGAAAACAUAAAAUGGGCCAGUCUCCAGAUUCAAAGGAGAGCUGGAGACAGCAUUCGUAGGUUGACCAGGCAGCUUUGACCAGGACCCCAUCAUGUCACUUUCAUGCAGCAGAGGCAGCGACUACUGGAGAGGGACACGAAGGACUGCACCUGGAUCUUGUUUAAACGCAAGGAGCUGGGUUUUGAAGACGCCACAAGGGACUUUAGGACCCUACGUUACUUAUUGACAUCAAAAGAGGAGAAGAUAAAGCCUCACAAUUCUUCCUCCCACUUCCUCAGGUGGCCAGUGCUGCUUUUAUUGUGGAAUGGGUUUGCCACAAAGCCUCAGGCUGAUAGAUAAGACUCGGGUCUCUGAAAAAUGACAGCUUGACAUCAAACCAACAAAAUCAAUUUCCAAAUUGAUUAAAACCAUCCUCAAAUAAAACUCUGCUGGCUUUCUCGAAUCCCAUUGUAAAAGGUCAUCUGGGAAGUAAGUACCAUAUUUGUUUUAAGUUAGCAGGAGCCUGCAGCGCACUUGAGGCCCUACAGUUUCAGGGCCAGGCUGGGCUGACUGGGCCCACCCACGCCUCUGCCCUCACCACAGCCCCCAGCUCCAGGGUGCCCACCAGAGCCAGGGCAGGAAGCCACCUCCAGGCUGGCCCUUCGUCUUGGCUCUUUGAAAAGCUUUGGGUGAGAUGUGUCUCUUGGAUCAAAUAAACAAUCAACAAUUGGCUGCUAUCAUUAAGGGAGAGGGUUACUGCUGAGGGAGACAUAUCCUGGGGGCAUUUUGUGUGUUUAUGGGGUGAUUUAUGAUUCAUAGAGAUCAAGCGAUAAAAGUACUGAAAUGCCAAGAAAGAAAAUUGGAGAGAAAAAUUGCUACAAAUUUUAUUCUGAUUUUUUUAAGGAGAUUUAUUUUAUUUGCAAGAUUUGUAAUUGAUGCAAAGCCUGUAAAUGCAGGUUCCCCACUGUCAAAGCCUCUCCCUUUCAGACCCUUUGUAAAGGCGUGACCUGCUUCCAGAAACGUGAUAUUUGAAAAAAUGAAAUCUACACAUUGAGAUACAUUAGGAGUGACUGUUCACGUGACAAAAGGGUUUGCCACUUUACAAAAGAUUCAUCCCAGUGUUUCUUAAAGAACUAUACAACUGCGAUGUAUUUUAAAUGCCUUUCAAUUAAAAGAAUUGACUCAUGCUCAA